UGUGGUUUUAGGCAGAGACCCAACGCCCACCACCCCAGCCUCUGCCCCACCGGCGAGCUUCAGAGCUCUCUUUAGCUCACUCUCUUGCCUCAGACUGCUGGGAACAAUGGAGUCUUUUGAGAGGGGCAGAUGGAGAGGCUAUGGUGAAGCUGUGAAGCUGUUCGCCAGCAGCUCCCUCUCUCUCCUCCUGCAAGGGGGAAUUUUGAACAUCGCUACAGGGUGGAGUCACUUCCUGGGUGGGCCCUGCAUCGAUCAUGUGCAUUUAGACAUAAAAACACUUAGAGAUACUCUAACAGAGAGCUCAGUCACUUAGCCUGCAGUUGAACACAUGUUUAAACUAUUAUAACAGUCAUGCUCUAGAAAAAACGGACCAGCAGAGUCAGCUAUUAAAACACCAUAAAAGUGUAUGAAUCACAGAGAGACUGGGUCAGAUUCAUGAUGCAUGGUUUAAACAGCACACACACACACACACACACACACACACACACACACACACACACACACACACAGGUCUGUCUUCUUAUUUAUUAUCUAAAUCAGCAGAAAAGCCUUCUUCUCAUGCGGUGUGCUGUCAUAAAUAUGAGAUGAGUGGGGAGGCCCUGCAGAUUCUUCUGUGUUUGUGUUUUUCUGGGUCAUGUUAUGUCCCAUCCUGUACCAAGGAAAACAUAAUGUACUAUAUAUACUCAUGAGCCACUUUAUUAGGUACACCUUGCUAGUACUGGGUCAGACCCCCUUUUGCCUUCAGAAUUGCCUUGAUUCUUCAUAGUAUACUUUCAACAAAGUGUUGAAGACAUUCCUUAGAGAUUUUCAUCCAUGUAAACAUGAUAGCGUCACACAGGUGCUGCACAUUUGUCAGCUGCACAUCCAUGAAAUGAAUCUCCCGUUUCACCACAUCCCAAAGUUGCUCUAUUGGGUUGAGAUCUAGUGACUGUGGAGGCCACUGGAGUACAGUGAGCUCAUUGUCGUGUUCAAGAAACCAGUUUGAGGUGAUUUUAGCUUUGUGACAUGGUGCAUUAUCCUGCUGUAAGUAACUAUCAGAAGAUGGUACACUGUGGUCAUGAAGGAUGGAGAUGGUCAGUAACAAUACUUGGGUAGGCUGUGGAGUUUUAACGAUGCUCAGUUGGUACUAGGGGGCACAAAGUGUGCCAAGAAAAUAUCCCCCACACCUUCCCUCCUCCACCAGCACGCCAUUGAUUCAAGGCAGGAUGGAUCCAUGCUUUCAUGUUAAUUAUGCUAAAUUCUGACCCACCAUCUGAAUGUCUUGACUCAUCAGACCAGGCAAUGUUUUUCCAGUCCUCUGUUGUUCAAAGUUGUGUAAACUGCAGCCUCAGUUUCCUGUUCUUAGCUGGUAGGAUUGGUACCUGGUGUGGUCCUCUGCUGCUGUAGCCCUUCUACUUCAAGGUUUGUGUACACAUGUUGGGUGUCCAGAGAUGGUAUUCUGCAUACCUUGGUUGUAAGGAGUGGUUAUUUGACUUACUGGUGCCCUUCUUUCAUCUGUCUGCCUAUUCUCCUCUGACCUCUAACAUCAACAAGACACUUUCAUCCACACACCUGCUUUACACUGGAUAAUUUCUCUUUUUUGGACCAUUCUCUGUAAGUCCUAGAGAUGGUUGUGCAUGAAAAUCCCAGUAGAUCAGCAGUUUCUGAAACACUUAAACCAGCUCAUCUGGCACCAACCAUGCCACCUCCAAAGUCCCUUAAAUACCAUUUCUUCCCCACUCUGAAGCUUGGUUCGAACUUCAGCAGAUCAUCUUGACCAUGUCUGCAUGCCUAAAUGCAUUUUGUUGCUGCCUUGAGCUACUUGUGUUAACAAGCAGUUAAACAGGUGUACCUCAUGAAGUGCCUGGUAAGUGUAAGUACACUGAACAUGUCUGAGUCAAAGGGGUCAAGAGGAACAAGAACUGAAGGGUCGAUCUUAAGUAGACAGCUGGAUGAGGAAAAGUCUCCCCUUCUAAAUAAAACCAAACCAGAAUAAUUCGAUACAACAGAGGAAAAUGUGUUUUAUUUAUUUUUCUCCAUACAGUGGGAACUAGAGGUUCCAGGUUACUUAUAUUGGAGAGGAAAGUUGCACACACAGAAGAAACCUGUUGUCUGAGCUCAUCAUUUUGUUUGCUUACAAGCUAUUUAUGCCCACUCAACAAUUUUGUGAACCUCACUGUGUGAAGAGAGCUCAGAAUAUAUGAUGCUAAAAAAGUGAGGUUUUCCCAAAACACAGACGUGUUAAACAUGAGGCUAAUUCUAAUCUGUUUGUUUUUGGCAAAGGACUUUGUCACUUGCACACACACACACACACACACACACACACACACACACACACACACACACACACACACACACACACACACACACACACACACACACACACACACACUGGACAGGGUCCAGUGUUGACUCCUUGUCAAUAUUAUACCAAUUAAAUGACAGAUUCAUCUGUAGAGUAGGUUUGUUAACACCAUGGUAAAUAUAUAGGUUGAAAAUACCUCUUUUACUUGGGCAGAUGCACUAAACAUAGGCUAAGUGCGCCCUAUCCCAGUUCAAGAAACUACUCUACCUUUUUCAGAGGCACAUCAAAGGUAGGCUCAAAACUUUUCAUUUUGACAAUGUUUACAGUUAGUUAAGGCCUGGUCCGGCUUUAGUUAUGCUGCUAUGAGUUCAGACUGCUGGGGGAACUGCUAAACUGAGCUCCUUUCUUUCCUUUUCUAUCCUUUAUCUAUAUGUGUGUUAUUAACUCUGUAUCAUGUGGUCCCAUUACAGUCUCUAACCACAAUCUUUUCUGGAGGUCUCUAAGCCCCCUCAUCCCAUAGCUUUUUCUAGAUUGCUGCCGCAGUUGCCCUGCUACUGCCGACCUGCCAGCUUUCCAGCUGCUUCAACAACAAACAUCAGUCUCACAGUUAGAGAGCUAAUGUUUCUAAUUACUGCCAUGCUAUAACUAUGGACCUGUUGACUUUAAUUUGCCAUAAUUUAAAAAAAAGCUUGAUUACAAAUGUUACUUUUCUUUUCAACUUGCAUUUAAUCUUGUUUAAUUGCACAAUGUGGCAGGGAUGCUGUGAUUUAGGUUCUCCAGUUGCUGAAGUGCUACAGUAGAAAAGGGAAAAAAGUGGUUUGUUCUUGUAUCAACAUAAUAGUUUUUGUUAGGGACAGUGUAUAUUUUCCAGAAUCAUUUCUCUGGUCAUUGGGUAUGCAUGUGUAUGUAUAGGGUACAUGUGUAUAGGAAUGUAUAUAUCUAUACAUAGACGCAGUAGGCAUGACAAUAGAUGCACACACAUAAACCACACUCCUACUGUAUUACAGUUUUUCAGUUAUUAUUAUUAUUAUUUUUUUUUUAAUAUUUUCUCUGUAUUUUUGCACUGUGGGCUGGAGAGAAACACCUUUUUCAAUACCUGUGUACUCAUUUACGGCAGAAACUGAUGACAAAACGCUCAAAUCAUGAAUCUUGAAUUUCAAAAAAACAUUUGCGCAACAAUUGACACAAAAUGUGUCAGUGGGCAAAAUAGUUGAAAAACUGCUGGGUCUUAAAUAUGAUAAUGUGCAGGUGCUGUUUGGAUACCUCAUGAUUGCUGUACAUAUUUCUUUCUGUGGAAGGGUGGCUGCCCAGGAAAAAAAUGCACUUGUGCCAAUCAAUAAAUGAAAAAAAACAAAAAAAAACACAACACACUUGAAGACACACUGUAGUGCUGGUGAAGAAUUGAAAUACCUAGUUUGCACUGCAAAAUAUCUUGAGCAGAGCCAGUACUCUACAACCUACUCUGGUCUUCAUUGAGGCCAUUUUAAGCUGCAGCAUAAGCACCUUAGGUGAGUUACAUUAAUCAGUCAAAUACUUCAAUCUACCCCUCUUGCCUUAAUGUUGAUUUCUGACACAUUUAAUCAUCUUUGAGGCUGCAUUCUUCUGAGAUAAUGAUUGGCAAACAAUUCACAUCUAUGUACAAUUUAGGGUGGUUCACAAGCCUGUAUGUCUAUAAUUUUGCCUGGAGGCUAAAGCACGUGGGGCUUACCUAUGUAUAGAAAGUGCCAGAAACUUUUUUUUCUUUUUUGCUACAGGAACAUCAGGAACAGUAAAUGACCUGGACUCCAUGUUACUUCAGAAGAACUCUGUAUUUUAAAAAUUUUGAACAAAAUGUUCACUGAUUUGUGAUAAAAGAAGGGACUUACUAGUUUUACUAUUCUACAAAAAUAGAACAUGUUAAAAAAUUAACAGUGUUUCAUUACUCCACAAUAUAACCAAUGGGACAGUAGUGUAAACACGCAGUGUUUUUCUCAGACAUAUUCUGAAGUAUGAAUCUCAUAGUCCUGACAUCUACACCAUCACGCUGACAGGAGCCAUAGGUCUUCUUGCGUGCGAGGAGUGCCAAAUUUCCAGCCAGUAGAGCACAGGGGGUUUGUGAUGUCAUGUGAUAAGUGUCAGCCCAUAGGCCCGUGGGUUUUGAGUGCUGUAGACAGCUGGGUGCAUGGAGCAGUGGGAAUGGAGGGGAGAGGGAGAGAGAUAAAGCAGGGUAACAGGCAUAGAAAGUGGGUUUAUGUGUGUGGUUGAAUACAGUAUGGAUGAUUCAAGGAAUAGCUAAAGCUGUUUGUGUGUAACUGAUUAGAUCAAGUAGCUGAAGAGUGCAAAAGGGGAGAAUGAUUAGGGGUGUGUGUUUGGUAUGUGAGUGUGUAGGGUGUAUAUUUAUAUAUGCCAUGCUGCUAUAUGGGGUUAGGGUGCAUCCCUUAACAUGUGUUUGUGUUGCAGUGGGUAGGGGCAGUGAUCUUGGAGGGCAGGAGUGUUUAUUGGACUUCAGGGGAUUAUUAGCAUGGGUGUGGCGUGUAUUUGUGUGUGUGUGCAUGUACUGUCAGAACAUAAAUAUACAGUACAGUAAGCUAUGGUUGUGUGCACCCAACAGUUUGCAUUUGUAUUCCAACAUGUUCACAUUUACAUCUUCCCCGCACAGCUGGCGUCCCAUGACAUGAAGCAGUGAUUUUGAUUUGUUCCAGUGGCAUGACCUGUUGCUGGAUCACAGGCGAGGCUUUGUCUUUGCUGUGUGGCACACAUUUUCUAUAGGGGUCCUUAUUGUUUUAUGCCAAGGCCCUGCUAAGUGAUACACAGACACAUUGUUAACCACCUCUCCCUCUCUCCCUCUUUCUAUCUGUUGUUCUAUGUUCAUGUGGAGGGUGAAUGUUUCUUUGUGCGCAGAGUCAUUGGCACGAACCGGCGCCCACUUCGACAGGAUACGUUACCAUGCAUGUUAUCUGGGCCACACUUUGCUUCAUUUUAGUUUCACAAUUGCUCAGUUUCCUGUUUGAUUUCAAAGUUGUUCUUCAGAACUACCGGUGGACAUUUAGAUCUACACAAAGAGGAAAAACUAUAGCAUCAUUCUUCUAUGUAAUAUGUAUUUAUGUAAUGCAAUAAAUGAUAGCCAAAAGCAAAGGAAAGAAAAAAAAAGUUUCUAAGUGGUAUAGCUCACGAGUGUCUGCUGUCACCACGAAAAACCUAUUUUUACAAUCCAUGAUAGUUUCUGACAGUAUGUGGUUGUACAAAGUUGCCUUUUGUUCUGGUAAAUCUCUUCUAUCAUGUGUCACACUCUGACUGCUAAGACACAUGUGCAACAAGGCUUCCCGGCAGUCAGCACCUGCUUAGAUGAUGAUUUGACAUAUAUGUCUGACCAGUGGACCCAAUUGUGAGGUGCUCAUCCGAAUUUCACAGCUGCAAUUGCCAUUAACUUUAAAAGACAUGCUGGUGCCAUGCCCAUGUCCAGAGAGACUCCAUGAAAGCUAUAAAUAAACCUGAUCAGGGUCAGCUUGUAAAACAACCAUGUGUGAGAGCUUUUUUUUCUUCUUCUGCUUAUUGAACUUAUUGUUUGUAAUUCUCAUCAUCUCAAUAUAGCACAAUUUAGGAACCUUAACAACAAAGUUCAGGAUGUUGACUCUCUUGUACAGAGAUGAAGAAAGCCUGAGUAGAGAAACGGCCUGCUGUUUGUAAUCUUUCAUAACAGCUCACAGAAGUCUGGCAUGCAGCUUGAUAGUGAAACACCAGUCAGCCCACAUACUGCAUUUCAACAACAGACAUACCAUGCAUGUGCCAUGAGAACACCACCCAUGUGCUGUGCAAUGUCCUAGAUGUAGAAGUGGGAUCUGGUGACCUCCUACAGAUAUUCUCAAUGAAUUUCUUCUAUGUUUGCAUGAUUCUGGGGGUGGAAAUAACGACAUGUGAAACCAGUGGGGUUUCUAUCGGUGUAGGUUUGAACUAUAGGCCCUAAAGUAUGAACCAGUGCCUUGUGAUUCAAUUGCCAAUUGUUGGGGAUAAUAGAGGACUGGUGAGGGAACGAGAUCACAUACUGCAUAAAUCUUCAACUUGUCAGUGUGGUUGCGCCUUUGUUUUCUCAGCAGCUGUGAAA